UUUUUUUUUUUUUUUUUUUUUUUUUUGCUGCACCCGCAGCAUGUAGAAGUUCCUAGGGUGGGGAAUGAACUUGUGUCACAAUAGUGACAACACCAAAUCCUUAACCCACUGAGCCACCAAGGACCACCUUUGUUGUUUUUUAAAGCCACUAAGUUUGUGGGCAAUUUUUAAAGCAGCCUCAGGAACCUAAUACAGAGAGUCAUUUUUAUCCCUGUUAUAAAGACAAGGAAAUUGAAGUUGAGAGAGGAAGGGGUUUUUUUCCAAGGUACGCAGCUAUUCAUCAGCAGAGAUGAGAUUCAGAUCCAGGCCCAUCUUAUUCCCAAGGCUUUCUGCCCUCUGUGAUGCCCUGCUUCUCCCACAGGCAGCCUCCCUAGAGAGAUACCUCCCGAGGUUGAGUGGAAGCUCUGAUGCAUGCGUAUGCCCAGGCUCUACCUGCAGAGAUGCCCACUCACUGGACCAGAGGAAGGGCCAUGGCAUCUAUCUUUUCUGAUAAACACUACAGAUGGUUGUGUUGCACAGUGUGGUUGAGGACAAUGGCAUUGAAGGAUGGGGUUUUCACUCUCACAGUCCUGCAUGUGUGCCCCCUCCAAAACACAGAUCAUGUAACACAGAAGGCAAAAUCAGAAGAAUGAACCAGGAGUUCCCAUCAUGGCUCAGCGGUUAGCGAACCCGCCUAGUAUCCAUGAGGACACAGGUUUGAUCCCUGGCCCAGCUCAGUGGGUUAAGGAUCCGGUGUUGCCAUGAGCUGUGGUGUAGGUCGCAGAUGUGGCUCGGAUCCCCCACGGUUAUGGCUGAGGCAGGCAACUACAGCUCUAACUGGACCCCGAGCCUGGGAACCUCCAUAUGCUGUAGGUCUGGCCCUAAAAAAGCCAAAAAAAAAAGAAGAAGAAGAAGAGGAGGAGAAGGAAUCAAACCCCAACUUAAAAGCUGGGCUCUCCAUGUAUUCCGCGGGCAUCGCCCGCAUGCUACACCCUAAGGGAGUGGAAACAAAUACAUGGGCUGGUUCUAAAGCAAAGCCAUUCCGACUCCCCAUUGGGUUUGUUAAAUCAUUUAUAAUUCCAAGAAGCUGAAGUAAAUAUUUAGCAUUUGAUUCCUAAUCCAUAAAUAUUUACACGUAGGGAUUUCCUCAUGUUUGACAAGCCCACCAGAGGUUCUGCAGUCUUAGCGAGUGUGACAAAUGAAACCUUGUGAUCCCUCAUCCCUCAGCGAGGAACAUGUGGCCACUCGUGCAAGAGUCCUGAUGCAGGGAACAGUCUGUGCGUGCCCAGGGGUGCAGCCAGGAUGGCUGAGAACUGCCAAGGGAUUCAACUUGGAACAGCCAAUUUGGAGAAGCAGAGGAAACAGAGACCGCCCCCCACCCCCCAAAAAAAAGAGAGAGAGAAAACUGAUGCUGCUCGCUCCUCUAGUAAGUACUUUCAAAGGUUCCUGUGGUAUUUUCCACUUAGGAACUUUAUGAUAAUUAUCAUUUAAAAGUGGGCUUCCAAAGUGAAAAUAGUGACAUAUUUGCACUAGAAAAUUCACCAAGAAACUCUUUUUGAAUCUUCCUUUAAGAAUCUUAGAGUAACUGCAGUGAAGUUGGCAGAGUCCCUCAAUCCAUCUAACCCACGCCGUUGAGAAGUGCGUGUGUAUAAAACUUUAGGAGUUCCCAUUGUGGCUCAGUGGGUUACAAACCCAACUAGUAUCCAUGAGGAUGCGGGUUCGAUCCCUGGCCUUGCUCAGCGGCUUAAGGAUCCGGCAUUGCUAUGGCUGCGGCAUAGGCUGGCAGCUGCAGCUUGGAUUUGACCUCUAGCCUGGGCACUUCCAUAUGCGACGGGUAUGGCUCUAAAAAGCAAAAAAACAAAAACGCUUUAUUAAGUCUACUUACUUUAUUAAAUGUGUGGCAUCCUGCUAGGAGGUGACAAGUAAUAAGACAAGAGAUUUCUAAAACGUAUGGUUAUCAAAGGGAAAUGUGGGGGCAAGAGAUAAAUUGGGAGGUUGGGAUUAAUAUACAUACUGUACUAUAUUUAAAAUAGGUAACCAGCAAGGACCACUGUACAGCACAGGGAACUGUAUUCAAUGUUAUUAAUAACUUACAUGGGAAAAGAAUCUGAAAAAGAAUCAAUUAAUGUAUAGGUAUAACAGUUUCACUUUGCUGGACACCUGAAACACAUUGUAAAUCAACUAUGCUCCGUAAAAUAAAAAUAAACAUUAAUAAAUUAAAUGAAAAGAAAAAAGAAAAAGACCAGGUUCCUCUCUUGAGAAGUUCUUACUCUCUUCCUAAAUGACUCGCCAUAAAAAAAAAUGAGUCACUUCUGACUCAUUUCUGACGUACCUACUAUGUGCCAAGCCCUCUGUUAUGGUCUAUACCCAGUCUCUAAUUCAAAAAUCCCUCUUUUCUGGGUGAGUAAAGAGGCUCUGCCAGCUAAUGGCUUGCCCAAAGUUUUAUUUCUCAUAUACUGUGGAGCCGGCUUUCAAACAAAGGAUCAGUCAAGGGCCAAUCAGACAAGCCGAGCCUUUGCCAGCUCUUCAAAGAGGGAAUUUAAUGUGGGGAACCCUGACAAUGGUGUUGGAAAAGCUGAAAAGCCAGGGAAAAAAGGAAGUGAUUCAGGGAUUAGCCAGAGCAGGAAGCUGCAACAGGCCCUAGGAUUAGAUCCACAAAAAAGGGGAGGUGCUGUGACCAGAACACAGGAGAUGGAGUCAGCGAGAGGGGGCUGGCACUGUGGCAGGGCUGCCCUGGAGCCCUGCAGACAUCCAGAGAGGCGCUGCUGUCCACAGCAGGACUGGGUCCACAGAGCAGAUGAGGCUGGCCAGAAUCACAAUCAGAAGCAGAGUGAGCAGAAGUGUCCCAACCUCACUCUCUGUCCACCCCCCCCAUCUCCCUCCAGCCCUCCCACUGGCUGAGCCAGCCAGAAACCCCAGUGUCUGGCGAGCUUAGGCAAACGGAGUUUGCAAAGUCAGCUCCUUGGGAUACACAGAAAUCUCUGCCAUGCACAGGUAGAGAAUGAAUCCGAGAGCAAACAGGCAAAUGAUCGGGAUACCAAGACCUGGCUUAUUUCUCAGCCCUUGAUCGGGCGGACGGAAGAACACUAAACUGUCAGAAGAAACUGGGAUGCGGUCUUGAAGAUGCCGUUGUUCGCCAUAUGACCACGAGCAAGCCACACAAGCCCUGUACCUCCGAUGUGGAGGAACACCCUGGACUUGUUAUGCCUGGCCCCGCCCACCCACAGAACUGACCUGAGGGCCAUGCAGGACGGCGCGGGCGGUGAUGCUUUACCCACUGUGAGGCCCAGGUGUGCUUCCAUUUACUUUGAACCUCGUGGGCAGAUUUCCUUUCAGCUAACAAUAUCGUAUGUCCAAACUCAGCCCCCCCCUCCUCCCUUCCUCCGGGAUAUUCCCAUCAGCCACCCCUCACCCUGAGAUGCCCUUUGCUCCGCCCCAGCUACCUUGCUCAGCUCUGUUCUUUCCAAGGAUAUUUUCCAGGGGCUUGAGAGAGGAGGAGGAUUUCGCAUUAGGAAGUGCCUGGCUGGUGGAGGAGAGGAAGGUUAAGGACAGAUGAGGAUGCUGCCUGGUAAUCCUCUCUAACUCAUGUAUGGCAGAGGUAGCAGACAAUCAUUUCUUGUGACUGAGACAAGAUCAAAGGAUUAAGAGGUUUUCGGUAAAGAAGGGCUGGCGUUCGGUCAUGAGAAUUAUAACAGUCAGGCUGCUGAAAAGAACAGCUUUGCUGGGUGAGAGUCUGAGAAUACAGCCUAGGAUCCUCAUGGAAAGCUUGUGUUCUUUCAGGGAGAAAGGCCAGAGUGCACCUGCCAGGAAAGCUACCAUCACGUCCCAGAGCUAUAGACGAGCCUGUCUGCAAACCCGCCUGCUGCUCUGGGAGGUGGGGGGGGUAACUAUCUGAGCCUUUGAGAUGUUCUUCUGAAAGUGACAGCAUCACCCACUGUCUAUCAAACCCUGAGCCCAGGCACACUGCUCUGUUCCCCAUCUCACACUGGUCCUCAAAAG
rnacentral:lncRNA from 1 species